UUGAAGAUCCAAAAAAGUUUGGCAUCUCAAUUUGCCUGCGACGACCCUCAAAAUUCGAAACCAACCAAAUCUCACACACAGAAGAGAGAGAAACUUAGAGAGAGAGAGAGAGAAACUCGGAGCGAGAAACACUCACUCACCCUCAGAGAAGAAGAAGAGAGAAGAAGAGACAUUGAUGGCGGAUGCGAAGGAAGAGAGUAGUAAAUCUAGCACCGGCGGUGGCGGGGGCGAGGAAG
rnacentral:lncRNA from 1 species